rnacentral:rRNA from 1 species
CCAGACUCCUACGGGAGGCAGCAGUGAGGAAUAUUGGUCAAUGGGCUUACGCCUGAACCAGCCAAGUCGCGUGAGGGAAGACUGCCCUAUGGGUUGUAAACCUCUUUUGUCAGGGAGCAAUUGGCGCUACGUGUAGCGUUAUCGAGAGUACCUGAAGAAAAAGCAUCGGCUAACUCCGUGCCAGCAGCCGCGGUAAUACGGAGGAUGCGAGCGUUAUCCGGAUUUAUUGGGUUUAAAGGGUGCGUAGGCGGAAUGCCAAGUCAGCGGUAAAAUCGCGGGGCUCACCCCCGCCCAGCCGUCGGAACUGCCGGGCUAGAGUGGGCGAGAAGUGCGCGGAAUGCGUGGUGUAGCGGUGAAAUGCAUAGAUAUCACGCAGAACUCCGAUUGCGAAGGCAGCAUACCGGCGCCCAACUGACGCUCAGGCACGAAAGCGUGGGUAUCGAACAGGAUUAGAUACCCUAGUA